AUACUUGCCUGCCAGGGGACACACCGUAAUGGGGAAGGUGGCUUUUCCAGGACCAGGCUCAUCCAUUGUACUCAGGUUGUGCUAACCCCUGCGAUUUCCACAAAUUUGAGAAACUUGACUGCAUAAUUUCUGUUAGUAGAGGACUAUGCUCACACUCUCCCCUG
ensembl:snRNA U1 U1 spliceosomal RNA